rnacentral:lncRNA from 1 species
CGAUACUUAAUGAGGACGUGGCACUGGUGGAAAAUGAGACCUGUAAUGAUCAAAAUGUACAGUUUGAUAGUUUGCCAAGUGUGAAAUACGCUUCGUUUUUGAAUUCUGAUGGGAGUGUCACAAUUCAUGCCGGUAUAUUUCCGAACCUGCCACCUUUAGCUAGUCAAUUUUCUGAAAUAUUGAUUUCUUAUGAAUGUUUACAUAUUGCUCCGUGAAUUCCGAGGCCUCAUUUUUUUUCUUUCAGGUGAAAGGUUGGGACGUGGCAUUGUUACGGAUGCAAUUACAACCCCAGUAGUUAACACAUCUGCUUAUUUCUUCAACAAGACUUCUGAGCUCAUUGAUUUUAAGGUAUUUGCUAUUGUUACAUUUGGAUAUGGCCAUUGAGUAAGUACUUUCUUAUGGUGUAUGAGCUACAAUGUAGAUUUGCUGAAGAUCCUAACUGAAAGGCUAAUACAUAAUAAUAUUAUGGAAAGCUAGGUGAUUCGCCCAUCUGUUGUCUCGAUGAAUUAUCAUAUAGUGCUUGUAUAGUUUCACUGAAUUGGAAAGAGCAUGCAAAGUCCUUUUAGGUUUAUCUAGAUUGUUGUUUCUGAUUUCUCUGUUAUGACUUUUCAGGAGAAAAGACGUGCAAGUUUUGAAUAUGGGCGCUAUGGGAACCCAACUACUGUUGUUUUAGAGGAGAAGAUAAGGCGAGUUUGGUUUUUGGUUUUGAUGUUUUACGGUAUAUAUUUUUUUGUUUCUCCGCUUGUGUUUUGUGGUAGGUACUUAAGACAUAAAUGUGUUUUUUUGUUUUUGCAACAGCGCACUGGAGGGUGCUGAAUCAACCUUGUUAAUGGCAUCUGGAAUGUGCGCCAGUACUGUAAUGCUGCUGGCGUUGGUUCCUGCUGGAGGCCAUAUUGUUACAACCACAGACUGCUAUAGGAAGACCCGGAUCUUUAUUGAAACUAUACUUCCUAAAAUGGGGAUUACGGUAACUGCACUGAUCCUAGCUUUUCUGAUAGCUGAUGUUUCUAGUUUGCAUAUCUACCGAUAUUACGGGAUUUCUUGACAUAUUAAGAAAAUGGGAUCUGCAAGUCUGCUAUUGUUUUGCUCUGGUAAUCAAAGUGAAUGAUAUUAAUGAAUUUUGAUUUUGAUGGAGAACACACAGUGAUAAUUUCUUCUGGCUAGAGCUUUUCUUUUUUAUUAUUCAGUCAAAGGAAAUAAAAUGAUACCAAGGUGUUUUCUUAGUGGUUAUAACUUAUCAUUCCUUUAUUCAUUUCACAGGCCACGGUCAUUGACCCAGCCGAUGUCGGAACUCUGGAGUUGGCUCUAAAUCAGAAGAAAGUCAGUUUGCUACUAUUAGUCUUUUUUUUUAUUAAACUUAUAAUGACAGAAUAAUGAAAAGAUGACUCAACUUGCAACGUUGUUCCAUGCAGGUGAAUCUUUUCUUUACCGAGUCUCCAACAAAUCCAUUCCUCAGAUGUGUAGACAUUGAGCUGGUUUCAAAGCUUUGUCAUGAAAAAGGAGCCUUGGUUUGCAUAGAUGGGACGUUUGCAACUCCUCUUAAUCAAAAGGCCCUUGCUCUUGGGGCUGACCUCGUUCUGCACUCUGCAACAAAAUUCCUUGGUGGGCAUAAUGAUGUAUGGCAACCAUAACUGGUGUUUUGGCAAUUCUAAUAAUUUUGCUCCUACUAAAGGUAAUUGAACUGACAGGCUAUUGUAUUUAUGCAGGUUCUCGCAGGUUGCAUUAGUGGUUCUGUAAAGUUAGUUUCAGUAAUACGUAACCUGCAUCACAUCCUGGGUGGUGCUCUCAAUCCGGUUAGCUGUCUUUGAAGUUUUUCUUGACUAUGGGUUCUCGAGUUCUAUGCUUUAUGAUAGCUCAAAUUUGGUGAAGUGAAAAAAAUAAGACGGACUCUUGAAAAAUCAUGGAAUUUGGGAUGAUUAAAGUACAUGGAGAAAUUGUUUUGUUGUUUGAGCUUGUAUUUUGUCAAAUCUAAUUUAAUCCUUGCAUGUAUCAGAAUGCCGCAUAUCUAAUCAUCCGAGGCAUGAAGACGCUGCAUCUUCGUGUACAGCAACAAAACUCAACUGCAUUGAGGAUGGCCGAGAUUUUAGAGGCUCAUCCCAAGGUAGUUUCAGCUUGCAAUAACUUUUACUGGCAUGAUUAGGAAUCACACCUAAGGCAAAGCAGUAACCAAACUAAUUUUAUGGAGUUUCUGUAUUUACUAGAGAAAUGAAGAGGUUCUGCUUACUAUGUAAAAAUUGAAAAAGCUUAUGGUAAGCCUAUUUCCUGCAGCACGGUCUAGAUAUUGGUAAUUUCUUACUGGUUUAGAUGUUAAAGCAUGUUGAUAAUAAUCAAGACAUGGAAGCAACAAGGCCACAGUCUCUUGUUUUCUCCCUUGUAGUGAUUAAUUGUUUCUUGGCCAUAUAAGCUGGACUGUUCUUUCUGACACUUCUUAUGCACCUUGAGAAUGUGCUUUUGACGUCAGAAAGUUGUAACUAUAGUGUGUUCUUUCUUUAAUUAUUUGGUUAAUAUGGAUAAAGAUGUUGCGUCCUUGUUGGGUCAGAAAGAUGCC